CCUACGGGAGGCAGCAGUGGGGAAUAUUGGACAAUGGGGGCAACCCUGAUCCAGCGACGCCGCGUGAGUGAAGAAGUAUUUCGGUACGUAAAGCUCUAUCAGCAGGAAAGAAAACGACGGUACCUGACUCAGAAGCCCCGGCCAACUACGUCCCAGCAGCCGCGGUAAUACGUAGGGGGGAAGCGUUAUCCGGAUUUACUGGGGGUAAAGGGAGCGGAGACGGCAGCGCAAGUCUGGAGUGAAAGGCCCGGGCCCAACCCCGGAACUGCUCUGGAAACUGUGAAGCUGGAGUGCGGGAGAGGUAAGCGGAAUUCCUGGUGUAGCGGUGAAAUGCGUAGAGAUCAGGAGGAACACCGGCGGCGAAGGCGGCUUACUGGACUGUAACUGACGUUGAGGCACGAAGGCGUGGGGAGCAAACAGGAUUAGAUACCCGGGUAGUC
rnacentral:rRNA from 1 species